rnacentral:rRNA from 1 species
GAGGUGAUGCGUAGCCGAAUGAGGCGAAUUCCAUGAUCCUAUGCUGCCGAGAAAAGCCUCUAGCGAGCUUUCACACGGCCCGUACCCCAAACCGACACAGGUGGUCAGGUAGAGAAUACCGAGGCGAUCGAGAGAACUGUGGUUAAGGAACUCGGCAAAAUGCCCCCGUAACUUCGGGAGAAGGGGGACCACGCCCGGUGAAGACCUUCGCGGUCGGAGCUGGGGGUGGUCGCAGAGACCAGAGAGAAGCGACUGUUUACUAAAAACACAGGUCCGUGCGAAGUCGUAAGACGAGGUAUACGGACUGACGCCUGCCCGGUGCUGGAAGGUUAAGAGGACCGGUCAGCGGAGUGAUCCGCGAAGCUGAGAAUUUAAGCCCCAGUAAACGGCGGUGGUAACUAUAACCAUCCUAAGGUAGCGAAAUUCCUUGUCGGGUAAGUUCCGACCUGCACGAAUGGCGUAACGACUUCUCUGCUGUCUCAACCACAGACUCGGCGAAAUUGCAUUACGAGUAAAGAUGCUCGUUACGCGCGGCAGGACGAAAAGACCCCGGGACCUUCACUACAGCUUGGUAUUGGUGUUCGGUUCGGUUUGUGUAGGAUAGGUGGGAGACGGAGAAGCCCGCACGCCAGUGUGGGUGGAGUCGUUGUUGAAAUACCACUCUGAUCGUAUUGGACCUCUAACCUCGGACCCUGAUCGGGUUCAGGGACAGUGCCUGGUGGGUAGUUUAACUGGGGCGGUUGCCUCCCAAAAUGUAACGGAGGCGCCCAAAGGUUCCCUCAGCCUGGUUGGCAAUCAGGUGGCGAGUGCAAGUGCACAAGGGAGCUUGACUGUGAGACCGACAGGUCGAGCAGGGACGAAAGUCGGGACUAGUGAUCCGGCACCGGCAUGUGGAAGCGGUGUCGCUCAACGGAUAAAAGGUACCCCGGGGAUAACAGGCUGAUCUUCCCCAAGAGUCCAUAUCGACGGGAUGGUUUGGCACCUCGAUGUCGGCUCGUCGCAUCCUGGGGCUGGAGUAGGUCCCAAGGGUUGGGCUGUUCGCCCAUUAAAGCGGCACGCGAGCUGGGUUUAGAACGUCGUGAGACAGUUCGGUCUCUAUCCGCCGCGCGCGUUAGAAACUUGAGGAAGGCUGUCCCUAGUACGAGAGGACCGGGACGGACGAACCUCUGGUGUGCCAGUUGUCCCGCCAGGGGCACGGCUGGUUGGCUACGUUCGGAAGGGAUAACCGCUGAAAGCAUCUAAGCGGGAAGCCUGUUCCAAGAUGAGGUUUCUCACCCCCUCGAGGGGGUAAGGCCCCCGGCAGACCACCGGGUUGAUAGGCCGGAACUGGAAGUGCGGCAACGCAUGCAGGUGACCGGUACUAAUAGGCCGAGGACUUACCAC